UGUAAAAAAAUUUAUCUACUUGUAUUGUUAAAAAUUGAUGUGAUUGACGGAAUAACUAGAUAGAGAUUUGUGAUGUGUUAUGUAUAUCUUUUGUUGAUAGAUAGAGACCAAUUUUUAACAAUUGAAAUGAAUAACUUUUUUAACA
rfam:Gossypium hirsutum cultivar TM-1 chromosome 12, whole genome shotgun sequence